CGCACUGCGGCGAUCCGGCGGAGGCGGUGCUCUCCUGGCAUCAGCGCUGCGGCUGGAGGCACUGCUGGUGCUCCUGUCUGCUGUCCACUGCCACCUUGGCCUGUUUUUGCCACCCUGGCGCCCCGAACUCUGUGCCGCCGCACCCUUCACCCAGUCUUGGGACGGCUGGCGCUAAGAAUUCAUGCUAUGACCUUCGAUUCAGCCAGGAGGUGACACCAAGCUCGAUCAGAAACUAUGCCACUGGUGAAGAGGUAUAUUGAGCCCUGCGUGGCCCAGUGAGGUUACUAGAGAAUUGGAAGAGUCUCAAAUCAGCAUCCUGCACAUGGUUAUCAAACCAUUGUGAAGUCUUAGUAAGUGGUCAGUGGCUCUGGUGGGCUUGCCCAGUUAGUGUCUUAACAGGCACUAGGCAGUUACUUGAUAUUUUCCCAUUAUGAUAUGAAAAAGUUUUUUGUUUUUUGUUUUUUUAGGGCUGUACCCGUGGCAUAUGGAGGUUCCCAGGCUAGGGUUCAAAUUGGAGCUGUAGCUAUAUGCAGGCCUACACCACCCACAGCUAUAGCAACUUGGGAUCCGAGCUGCGUCUGCAACCUACGCCACAGCUCACGAGAGUGCUGGAUCCUUAACCCACUGAGAGAGGCCAGGGAUUGAACCUGUGUCCUCAUGGAUACUAGUUGUGUUCUUAACCCACUGAGCCACAAUGGGAACUCCAAAAAACAGUCUUUAUUUCAGACUAGAGAGUGAAGAGCCUAAUCUCUCUCUUUCCCCGUCUCCCAUUUUUGCAAUGAUAUCUUGCCCACCAUAAUAGUUGGUGUAGAAAAUGGAUUUGAAUCCAAGCCCAAUAUUGUUUCUUCCACCUAGUGCUUCCUCUAGAUUCCACCUAAGUCCAAGGAGGCGAUGUGAGACAGAAACAUUUUUAUUCCACAUGGAAAGAUUAUAAUAGCCUCUGACAUUGUGCUCCUCUGAUGAAGGAAAUGUCCAUGGUAUAAAUUUUUAUUGUGCAUAAAAUCACCUGGGAAGCUUGUUAAAAAUGCAGAUUCCUAGGCAGCUAGAAGCCUUGUCAUUGGUCCAGAGCAACAUGAAGACCUACCUGUCACUUACACUGAGGCUUCCUGCCCAGUGGGUUCACCAGCAAGCCAGAAGGAAGCAUCACUGCCAUGGAUGUCCUUGUGAGGCAGUUGUGAAGCCUUGACAGGUUAUCAAACCAAGAGAAGUCCAAAACUCAGCCAAGAAUGGCCACCCAGUCUUCAGCCUCCAUUUGACUUUCCAUCUUGUCCACUGAGGAUAGCAGAGUUAAGUCAGGAAAAGAAAAUGGCUGUCCACAGAGGGAGAAUUGAUCACUGUCUGUUCUUCAAAGAUGCUUUUCUGGCCGUGGUUGGGGCUAUUAGUGCUCACUGCCUGGACAGAGACCUGUUUCAACAGGGAGAGCUUUAGAAACAACUUGUCAAGUUUUCACCACAAAUACCAUUGGAGUUACAAUUGGAGUCUCACUGAAUUAUACAGUAAUUUUUGGAGAGCUAUCAUCUUUAUAAUCUUCUCAUACAUGAAUGUGUCUUGGCUACUUGUAGAUGUUGCAUUGCUGCUGCCGCUGCUGCUGUUACUACAACUACAAUUGCUGCCAGUUGCUCCUUGCGUAGGACCAGAGUGAUCAUUCAUCAGAAACCUCAUCCUCACAGUCUGGGGUUUGUUCCUGUGGCUGGUAUUCACAGUUUUCCCCUUCCAACUUUACCUCAGCUAUCCCCUUACCUACAUUAACAGGUAGGCUUCCAGUUUAUGUUCACCACCCAACAGGCUCAUAUUUCCUUUUUCUUAUUUAGUGUGAUUAAUCAUUAGUGCUUCAUGAGAAGCCUUCUUUCUGUUAGAAAAUGUGACAACUAGAAUACAAGUUAAACCAUUCCAUUCAGGGCCCUACAGUGAGUCAUGUAAGCUCCCUUUUAAAAUGAGAGAAAGUUGAGCAUGCUUGCAGACUAUAAGGCAUGUCUUUGUACGUGUGGAAGAGAAAUGAUAACCUAUUGCUCUUAGAAUACGGGUGGAGGCCUAUCCUUAGAUGAAAGGAGUUACCUCUUCACUGAGGUAUAGUGAUGAUAAGAAUAGGAGUUGGGAAGAGUACCUGAUAAAGGUGUUGCAGAUUUGUAAUUGUAGAGGUGGAUGGUGGAUAGGCAGCUGACCAGGGAUCAGACUGUGGACAAAAGAGUCUAAGGAAUAUCCAGGCCAAAAGGCUGGAGCGGAGCACUUAACGGCAUAUGGAAGUGGGCAGCUAGUUUGAAAGUUGAUUAGAGAGGAAAAUAUAAAGUGGUCUUGGGCCACUGUCACAAUUAACAUUCGGUUGCCUGGAACUGACCUCGAUUGAGGGAUGGACAGCUAGGAAGAGAGGUGUUACACAGAAAUGGAAUUGAGGAUCCAGAGUGUAUAUGGAAGGAAGUUAGUUCAGAAGUGAGUUCAAAGUCUGUACAGAAAAAGAGGCCUUAGUGUGUUCAAGAUGGAUGUUGAGUAGUUAGAAAACUGGAAUGAUAGGACCAGUAUCAGAAAGUGAACUUUGGAAUGUUAAAAUUUAAAAACUAGAGCAAUCAAGAUACUUGUGAUACUAGGAUGUCAGAUGGUCAUUUACCUGGAUAUUAAAGUGACCUGGGAUUAUAGUAAAAGCUGGGCUAGGAAUGAGACUGUGAGCUAGAUAAAAUAGGCUUUAGUAACUGAGUAACUAUCUGGAGAUUGGCACAUGACAACUCUGCAGAUGCAAGAGAAGAGAGGAUGUAGUGGGAUAGUAGUACAAGUCUCAAAGAGUGGUGAGGAUUAUUAGAAGAUACAGAAACUGUGCUUCGCACAUUAUACUGAAGUUUUGGCUGGCAGAAUGCACAACUAAAAUGAUCCUCUCCUAUAUCAAGUGCUUGUUCUAUUUGCUGUGUGCCAUCUGUUUAUCCCUUUGGGGUCACAUUUUUUGUGCGAAAAUGAGCCACAAUCCCAGGCAAGGAUAGCUAGGCUGCUGACCCUCAGCACUGGUAGAAUCCUCUAGCCAUCUACUAACUCUGGAAGAGCAACAGGCUGGUCGUCUGGAAGUAUCAUAAAGAGAUUUCUUUAGGAUUGAAAUUUUUCCUUGACUUUGAUGUAACUUCAUUAUGUGAUAUAAGCUUUUGUUGGCUCUGUUUCAUAAUGUGCUUUGGCUUCUGAGUCUCUAAGUUGAGAAGUGAACUAAUACUGCCCUUUGGGAAAAACAGGCACAGUACUUUAAAAAUACACACUGAUUAAUCGGAACAAGACACGGUCAUAUUAUCUAAAUGAGUUUUCAAGAUAAAGAGUAGGCAAAAGAAAGUGCACAUCAAUGGGUGAAUAACAAAACCACUUUGUAAAAGCCAUUUAGAGUCAGGAUACUUCCAGUUUGGUUGCCAUAUUAUAGGUGUUCCCUGUGCUUUUGGGAAGGAAGGCUGGAUUGAUGCAAAGAGAUGGCUGUUAGGACUCGGAAGUUUAGGAAGAGAGUCUCUGUAAACCCUCUGAUAUUGCUUGCAGCCAUUUUUGUUUUGCAGUAGUCUUUAAAUGAGUCAAUAUUCCUAAAAAGCUAUAGAGCCUAUAGACCAGGCUCUCAGAUAGCCCAUUCCCUCUUGUGGGGCUGCUCUAUAUUUGUUCCUUAGGAGUUGCUGGUAGAAGACUUCAUGAAGGAGAGAAGAAAAGGAAAAAAUCAGAGGAUGACUACAGCCUCCUUCAUCUCAGCUUUGCAAAGCAUUACUCAACAGAGGGAUCACUCUCUUGAAUACUCUCCAGACCACAGGUUGCUCUUUUGAAUUGCAUGCUUAGCCCUCUCAGCAACUUUCUCUUUUUAGAAGUUGUAUUGUAUGUGUAUAUAUGAACUAUCACUUCCCAUAAAGAGUACCCCAUGUAGUCAGAAAUUGCUGGAUCCCCAGUGCUGGAAUAUAGGCCACCAGAGAUGAGUUUGAGUUUCAACAACAUAAGAUCCCAACUUUAUGGAAGGAAGGCAGUUAAUUGACUUGAAAAUAACCUCUUUCCCUUGCAUUCAAAUUCUUUUUCCUUCAGUUCCAUCACUGAUUAAAGCAAACAAAAGCCAUGACUUUCUCCUUCCACUGGCAUUUCUCUGGUCCCUGUAUGCCACUGUGUGUCACUUUUUCAUUAGCACUUCCUUUUCCAUCUCUUAAGACUCAGGGAGGCAUGAAUGGGUUGAAUUGUCGUUAACUACCUCUGCAGUUGGGGAAUACUCAUGUUAAUCAGCCUGAUGCCAACUCCUACCUUAUCUCCUGACAGUCGCUGGAGCAGCUGUAGCCACGGCCAACAACCAGGCCCCAGCCCCAGGAUUUAUUCCUAAUAUCUCAGCUGAUUAUGAAAUGCCAGUAGGAGGACUUGUAUCCCUUUCUAACCUGGUCAUCAGAGAUUAGGAUUUGUCUUAGGAAUAUGGUAUAUAAGGACACAAAUCUUAUGGUUAAAUAGUAAACAGUGUCAGGAGUCCUGGUUACUCUUUGUCUCUUGGAGAUGGGCAAGAGAGGGCACGAGGGAAGUGAAAAGUUAGUACCUUUCAAAUACAUUCCCAUGAUUCCUCAAGACAGCCCAGUCACACCUUCUGGUGCCUUGUCCUAUGUCUAGCCUCUUCUUUUUUCAGAAUCCUUCUAGUGUACUCCUUGCUCUCUCUAGCCACUUUUCAUUUCCUGCACCGCCCCCCAUGGGUUUCAGCAGGUGUGUUUUCUUUUUCUUUCCUCCAGGCCAUCAGUCUAUUACAGGCUCUAACUGGGAGGAGCCUUAUUGUGAAUGAAGCUUCGGUGGGUGCUAGGAGUAACACCGUGUUUCUCUGGAUAUGAGAAGAAUGGAGGGCAGAGAGCAAGGGAAGGAAGCUAUGAAAUAUUGGAGUAACAAAUGCUUGACGUUUUAGUGGGUAUUGGACCUAGAAGCCUAUAUGAUUGAAGGAAGCAAACCUGAGAGGUCUGAUGUUUGUGAGUGAAGAUAGGCGUGAACUCCUUAUUGCAAUUAAAAAUGGAGUGAGGGGGAGGAGAAAAAUGACAGAAAUCAUAAGAUCCAUUACUUCAGUGAAGGAAGCACUGAGACUUGCUUCAUAAACCUGUAAUUUUUAAAGGUAGAUUGAAGAUAAGUUGUUGUGCUGCACUAUUUCUAUUCCUACCCGUGAGAGUUACUGCCAGCCACUCUUCUCAGGUAGAUCUGCCUUUAUGGAAAUUUCUGUUGACCCACGUAAAGAAACAACCCAGAAAAACAUUUGCAACAUUGAAGAACUCUGGUUCAGUGACAGGGUGUUAAAGGAGUUGAGGAUAGAGGAAAUAGCUCAAGUAGUACCAAAUAGCUCAGGUUGGCUUUUUUUUUUCUUUUUAAUAGGAUGAUUGGGCCAGAGACAGUGGGCAGAAUGACUUCAGGCAACCCCAAACGCCAGAUAUGGCAUAAGGAAACAGUUUAAGGAAAAGGUCAAUCCUUGGACCUAGUAUUUGUGAUGCAAUAUCUUAAAUUAAAAGGAAGAGCUGCUUUGGAGAAGGGUUUUAAAAGAUUGUAUUUCAUAGAAAGAAGAAAGAUUUAGAGGAGAAACUUCCAAUUAUAUAAGAUGGGCAUUAUAACUUUUAAAGACAUCUGUUGCCUACAUGGGUCAUAGAGAUUGAUACCAGUAUCAGCCUGUGGCUGACUAGGCCAGUUUAAGUGGUUUCCUGUUUGAAGAGAGAUGCUGCCAUUCUCUCACUUUGGCAGGUAUUCACCUGCAAUGAGUCCAGUACCUGGAGGAGCAAGAAAAAAACAAGCAUCCAGGGGGACAAUAGUAUAGCCUUCUGAGUUAAGAUAGCAACUGAAAAGAUCAUGGGAUUGGCUGCACUGGGCUGGGCUUGUUUGUUUUUUCAAAAUAAAAAAGUUUUCUUUUUGAUGACAAAAGUAAGAGAUGAUCAUUGUUUAAAAAUAAAGUGAAAAGUAUAAAAGUAAAGAGUAAUGUGCUUCCUUUUACUCUAAAAAAAGUGUAUAUAACACAGUUUAAAAAUAAAAUUGACAUUGUAUUUUCUGACUUUUCUCAUUUAAAAAUAAGCAUUCUUCCAUGUCAUUAACAUUAUUUAAAAAUACAAUAUUGUGUCAUAUUUCAUAUGGAUCUAACAAAAUUUAUUUAGAUCAUCUCAUGAUGCAGAUAUUUUGGAUGUUACCAAUUUUGCUUAUAAAAUUCUGAUGAACAUAUUGUAUAUUCACCUUUAUAUGCAUCUCUAUUUCUUUAGAAUUAAUUCCUAGAAUUGGAAUUACUGAGUUUGAAUUAUGAGAGCAUUAUUAGGGCACUGAAAGGUACUGUUAAAUUAUACUGAAUAUAGUCACACAAAUUACAUUCCCAUCAGUGGUGCAUGAAUGUGCUAUUUCUCCACACAUUCAUCAAAACAUGCUCUUUCCUUUAAUAAAUCUCUGAUCAUUUGAUAGGUAAAUUUCCAUUUGUUUUAGAGAUUGUUUCUAAUUUACAUACACUAAAAUUCACUCUUACAGUGUAUAGUUCUAUAGUUUGACAAGUAUAGAGUCAUGUGUUCUUCCAUUCUAGUACCAUACAGAACUGUUUCAUCUCUAGUAAUUUCUCUUGAUUGCACUUUUUGUUGUAAAUCCCUUUCCCCAUCUUCAGUCCCUGGAAACCACUUGUUUGUCAUCUAUCCCUAUGGUUUUUGCCUUUUACAGAAAGUCAUAUGGAUGGAAUCAUGCAAUAUGUAGACCUUUUUGAUCUGGCUUCUUUCACUUAGUAAAAUGAAUUUAAGUAUCAUCUACAUUGUUUUUAGGUAAAUUAAUAUUCAUUCCUUUUUAUUUUUGUACUUCAUUGUAUGGCUAUACCAGUUUGUUUAUCCAUUCAUUAAUGGAUAGACAUGUGAGAUGUUUCCAUUUUUAGGCCAUUAUAAAUAAAGUUGCUAUAAACUCUCAGAUGCCAGUUUUGUGUGAAUGUAAAUGUUCAGUUCAAUAGGGCAAAUGCCUAAGAGUGAAAAUGAAGGCUAAAACUUCUCCAAAGUUUCUAUAUCAUUUUGCAUUCCCACCAUAAGUAUUGAGUUCUGGUUGUUCCACUUCUUCCACAUCUUAACCAGCACUUGGCAUUACUGUAUUUUUUUAAUUUUAGUCAUUGAAUAUGUAGUGGUAUAUCAUUGUGGUUUUAAUUUGCAAUGCGCUAAUGGUAUAUGAGUUUGAGCAUCUUUUCAUACACUUAUUUGUCAUCUGAAUGUCUUAUUUUGUGAAGCUUCUGUUUGAAUAUUCCCCCCCCCCUUUUAGCGGGUGAUUCUUUUUUUUCUUACUGUUUAGAUCUCCCCCCAUGUAUAUACACACACACACACACACACAUUAGAUCCUGGACCAGGGAUCAAGCCCAAGCAUAGCAGUGACAACAUUGAAUCCCAAGUGCUAUGCCACCAGGGAGUUCCUUGAUUUCUAUAUAUAUAGUCUUUUUAGGGCUGCACCUACAGCAUCUGGAGGUUCCUAGGCUAGAGACUGAAUUGAAGCUGUAGCUGCUGGCCUACACCACAGCCACAGCAACACCAGAUCUGAGCUGUGUCUGUGACCUACACCGCGGAUCACGGUAAUGCCAGAUCCUUAACUCACUGAGCAAGGCCAGGCAUCAAACCUGUGUCCUCAUGGAUACUAGUCAUUCUUUUCUGCUGAGCCAUGACAGGAACUACUUUAUCAUAUAUAUUGUUUGGAGUGGAUUCUCCAAGCCUGUGCUUGUCUUUCUAGUAGCAGUGCCUUUUUCAGAGCAAAAUGUUUAAUUUUAUGAAGUCCACUUUGUCAAAUAUGUGCCAGUAUAAAUUGGGAUGGGUAUAAAUGAAAUUAAAAUGUUCUAAGUCACUUACAUUAUCCAGGUGGUGUUUAAUGAUAACAUAUUUAUUGUGGAAGUCAGACUCUAAGGAUAAAUUUAGAAGCUCUGGCCUAAUCCUUAUACUUUGUAAUAUCACUUUUGAUGUGGGCAGGAUCUGUGUCUUGCUUCUAACCAAUAAACUAUGGCAAAGAUGA